rnacentral:rRNA from 1 species
CCAAAAUGGGUGGUAAACUCCAUCUAAAGCUAAAUACUGGCACGAGACCGAUAGCGAACAAGUACCGUGAGGGAAAGAUGAAAAGCACUUUGAAAAGAGAGUCAAACAGUACGUGAAACCGUCAGUAGGGAAACGAACGAGGUUGGUGCAGUGAUCGCGCAGGUUCAAGCACCGCCGAAGGUGCCGGCACGGCGGCGGAGAUCGUCCCGUGUCGUCCACCGGAGGCGGUGUCGUACUCCUCGCGAGCACGGACCAGCGGCGGUUGGACCGGAGCCACAAGGCGGCGGCGGAAGGUGAGUCGACGUGGGCCUGUCUCGCGUUGACAGCUUACAGCCCUGUCGCACGGUGCUCCGGGUCGACCGAGGAACGAGGGCAGCCCUUGCCCGUGACGGUACACGCCGAAUGGCGGGGGCUCCCGACGCGAGUGAAUCGUGCGGCCUGGACUGCGUGCAGUGCUCGUCGUGGCGACGAUCUCGCGCCGGAGAGUGCCACCUGUGUGCCAGUGCCGCUGGUAUUCGGACGGCCUCGUCCGACCCGUCUUGAAACACGGACCAAGGAGUGCAACAUGUGCGCGAGCCCUUUGGCGAGUAAACCAGAAGGCGCAAUGAAAGUGAAGGCACGGUCGCCGUGCUGAGGUGAGAGCCGUCCCUGGCGGCGCAUCAUCGACCGAUCCUAUCCGCUCCCCCGUGGUGCGGCGGGAUUCGAGUAAGAGUGUACCUGUUGCGACCCGAAAGAUGGUGAACUAUGCCUGAAUAGGGUGAAGCCAGAGGAAACUCUGGUGGAGGCCCGCAGCGAUUCUGACGUGCAAAUCGAUCGUCAAAUUUGGGUAUAGGGGCGAAAGACUAAUCGAACCAUCUAGUAGCUGGUUCCCUCCGAAGUUUCCCUUAGGAUAGCUGUAGCCCGAWGCAGUUUUAUCAGGUAAAGCGAAUGAUUAGAGGUAUCGGGGAAGAAACUUCCUCGACCUAUUCUCAAACUUUAAAUAGGUAAGAAGUCCGACUUGCUCGAUUUGAAGCCGGACACAGAAUGCUGGGUUACUAGUGGGCCAUUUUUGGUAAGCAGAACUGGCGAUGCGGGAUGAACCGAACGCCGAGUUAAGGUGCCAAAGU